rnacentral:rRNA from 1 species
UUUCCGUAGGUGAACAUGCGGAAGGAUCAUUCAGAUGGCUGUGGGGGUGAUAGUAUGGUUGAGUUAAGUCUCCCAGCCCCUGCUUCUAUCUUUCGUGCACUUUCUUAUCUAUCUUUUUAUUUGCGUAACCAAAAAUUGAAAACAACAUUCUAACAUUAUAAACGAAAACUCGUGGCGGUGGAUGUCUCGGCUCUGGUAACGAUGAAGAACGCAGCGAAAUGCGAUACGUAAUGCGAAUUGCAGAACCCGUGAAUCAUCAAAUUUUUGAACGCAAGUGGCGCUCGCGGGCAAUCCUGCGAGCAUGUCUGUUUGAGUGUCCGUACUAGGAAAGCUAUUUGUUCCCUUUGAACGGCCCGCAAGGGUGUGUUUGGGGAGCUGCUGUUGGGCGUUUUAGUCCGUGGGGAGACCUGCGGUCGCCUGAAGUAUGGUGGACCGUUUGGGUGUCUGUGUCUUGGGACGAGAUUCUGUUGCGUUCCCCGUUCUGGGGGGCGGUUGGACUCUAACGGCGUCGUGAAGUAAUGAAAGUUACGGGAAGCGGGGUUUGCAGUGAGUUUGAUUCCAUUUUGGAGGGCGGAGUUUUGAAACGGGGGGCGGGGGCUUGAGCGACCAAGAAGGAUCGGAAAAAAUUCUAGGAUCUCAAAUCAGGCAAGACGACCCGCUGAAUUUAAG